CGGGCAGCAGGAUCACGCGUUUGUUUUAGUUCCCUUGAAAUACGACGAGCGAACGGUCGUAAGGUAAACACAUAGGGCUUGAGCCAACGACAACUGUGUUUACUUAGAGGCGAGGCUUAGGUGCUGCUGCUGUGAGAAGGCAGUCGGAGAUGCGAAAAGUCGGGGAACACGUGAAUUUAUAUAUCCGCAAACGUGGUACUACGCUGCACGAUUGACUGAAGACUUCAGUGAAUGUAAAUAAUCUGAAAGUUGCGCCAGACGAUGCACAUGUUGAGGCAGUGGGUGUCUCGCAACGGUAGCUCCACAGAAGAUUCACUUGCGCCUUCUUUAGGCAACAACAACAGCAGCAGUCAUCUAUCAAGAGUGUUUUCGUGAACUUGGGUUUCCAAGAACCAGAGGCCGGGAGCAGACAAAAAGGCGCGGCCAGUCAUCAGAAGCAAAGCAUUUAAUGAUACAAAUAAAUCCUCUUUCCAGACUUCACAAAGACACCGAAGCCAAUAAAAUAGUUUACGCUGAACUAUGCGAGAUCAUUAAACAGAACGAGAGAGGAACAUCGAAAACGGAAUACAGAAAAAAAUACAAGAACAGAUUGGAAGAGCUUGGAAAAAGAGCAUGACAAAACAUCCACACUGGAAGCAAAGGCUAAUUUUCCCUCGAUAUUAAGGGAGAAAAAAAUCACAUACUUAAGGACAAGAUGCAGGUUACUAGGAUCUUUCCCUCGAUAUUAAGGGAGAAAAAAAGCACAUAAGAACAAGAUGCAGGUUACUAGGAUCUCGGGAAAAUGCACACGGUUUGCCAAGAUUUCAGUAAGUGCGACUAGAAGUGGCAAGUAUCGAAGACGAAGAUGACGUUCCUUAGACUUAAAUAUAGGAAGUCUGUUGCACUAUAGGCCAUUUAGUGUCAGAGCUGGAAAGUCGCGGGUCUAAGGGAUACAUUCGACAGUGGAGAUAACAGUCUAUUAUUAUGAUAAAACCACAUCGUCGUAGUAAAAACAUCUACAGGAGAAAAAGGUUAAUAU